rnacentral:rRNA from 1 species
GACGAACGCUGGCGGCGUGCUUAACACAUGCAAGUCGAACGGAAAGACCCUGCUUUUGUGGGGUGCUCGAGUGGCGAACGGGUGAGUAACACGUGAGUAACCUGCCCUUGACUUUGGGAUAACUUCAGGAAACUGGGGCUAAUACCGGAUAGGAGCUCCUGCUGCAUGGUGGGGGUUGGAAAGUUUCGGCGGUUGGGGAUGGACUCGCGGCUUAUCAGCUUGUUGGUGGGGUAGUGGCUUACCAAGGCUUUGACGGGUAGCCGGCCUGAGAGGGUGACCGGCCACAUUGGGACUGAGAUACGGCCCAGACUCCUACGGGAGGCAGCAGUGGGGAAUAUUGCACAAUGGGCGGAAGCCUGAUGCAGCAACGCCGCGUGCGGGAGGACGGCCUUCGGGUUGUAAACCGCUUUCGCCUGUGACGAAGCGUGAGUGACGGUAAUGGGUAAAGAAGCACCGGCUAACUACGU